CCUACGGGAGGCAGCAGUGAGGAAUAUUGGUCAAUGGUCGGGAGACUGAACCAGCCAAGCCGCGUGAGGGAUGAAGGUACAGAGUAUCGUAAACCUCUUUUGUCAGGGAACAAAGGCGGGGACGUGUCCCCGGAUGAGUGUACCUGAAGAAAAAGCAUCGUCUAACUCCGUGCCAGCAGCCGCGGUAAUACGGAGGAGGCGAGCGUUAUCCGGAUUUAGUGGGUUAAAAGGGUGCGCAGGCGGUAUGUUCAGUCAGCGGUCAAAGCCCGGGGCUCAACCCCGGCCCGCCGUUGAAACUGGCAGUCUCGAGUUGGAGAGAAGUAUGCGGAAUGCGCGGUGUAGCGGUGAAAUGCAUAGAUAUCGCGCAGAACUCCGAUUGCGAAGGCAGCAUGCCGGCUCCACACUGACGCUGAGGCACGAAAGCGUGGGUAUCGAACAGGAUUAGAUACCCGUGUAGUC
rnacentral:rRNA from 1 species